UCUGAUGUCUAUGCCGAAAGAGAAUAUAGGCUACUUGGUUAAUCCAACGACCGAACCCUUAUGUGUAGAGAGGCUUGCCUAAUCUGCCAAGGACCAAUCAAUUUUUUUGUACUUGUUACCUCCAUCAUCAAUAAACUAUAUCGCUUUUCCCAAAAACAAAAACAAAGGAAUGAUGGUAACCGCCAUGUUGCUCCAGUACAGUGCUACGUAUAUUGCAAGGUCUGAUCACGAAUCUCCUUGAACUAUUGGGAAUCAACCGCAUACGUGAAAUAAAAUUGAUCCAUUCUCAAUCCCUUGGACUUCUAGAUCACAUGUGUGAAGUGAUAAAACAUUUGGAUGGUAUAGACAUGGAAGAUUUAUGUGGUGGAGCCAUUUUCCAAGCUGUCGAGCUAGGGGUUUUCGAGUUUAUUGAUCGUAUAUUCCAAGCAAGUCCAGAUCUCGUG